rnacentral:siRNA from 1 species
GGAAGAGAGAAAGUGGAAAUGUGG